GUGCCAGCAGCCGCGGUAAGACGGAGGAUGCAAGUGUUAUCCGGAAUCACUGGGCGUAAAGCGUCUGUAGGUGGUUUGAUAAGUCAACUGUUAAAUCUUGAAGCUCAACUUCAAAAUCGCAGUCGAAACUAUUAGACUAGAGUAUAGUAGGGGUAAAGGGAAUUUCCAGUGGAGCGGUGAAAUGCGUAGAUAUUGGAAAGAACACCGAUGGCGAAGGCACUUUACUGGGCUAUUACUGACACUCAGAGACGAAAGCUAGGGUAGCAAAUGGGAUUAGAUACCCCAGUAGUCC
rnacentral:rRNA from 1 species